rnacentral:rRNA from 1 species
CUGGCGGCGUGCUUAACACAUGCAAGUCGAACGAGAAAUCUUUAGCUUGCUAGAGAAAGUAAAGUGGCGCACGGGUGAGUAACGCGUGGGUAAUCUGCCUCCGAAUCGGGGAUAACAUUGCGAAAGCGAUGCUAAUACCGGAUAAAAUCUGGUUGGCUUCGGUGAACCGGAUCAAAGGUGGUCUCUUUAUAAAAGCUACCGUUUGGAGAUGAGCUCGCGUACCAUUAGCUAGUUGGUGAGGUAAAGGCUCACCAAGGCGACGAUGGUUAGCUGGUCUGAGAGGAUGAUCAGCCACACCGGAACUGGAACACGGUCCGGACUCCUACGGGAGGCAGCAGUGAGGAAUUUUGCGCAAUGGGGGAAACCCUGACGCAGCAACGCCGCGUGAGUGAUGAAGGCUUUCGGGUCGUAAAGCUCUGUCAGGUGGGAAGAACCCACCAAGUGUUAAGACCACUUGGUGCUGACGGUACCACCGAAGGAAGCACUGGCUAACUCCGUGCCAGCAGCCGCGGUAAUACGGGGGGUGCGAGCGUUAUUCGGAAUCAUUGGGCGUAAAGGGCGCGCAGGCGGUUUUGUAAGUCAGAUGUGAAAUCCCGGGGCUUAACCCCGGAAGUGCAUAUGAAACUAUGAGACUUGAGUAUGGGAGAGGGAAGCGGAAUUCCUGGUGUAGCGGUGAAAUGCGUAGAUAUCAGGAGGAACACCGGUGGCGAAGGCGGCUUCCUGGACCAAUACUGACGCUGAGGCGCGAAGGCGUGGGGAGCGAACAGGAUUAGAUACCCUGGUAGUCCACGCAGUAAACGUUGAUCACUAGGUGUAGCGGGUAUUGACCCCUGCUGUGCCGGAGUUAACGCAUUAAGUGAUCCGNCUGGGGAGUACGAUCGCAAGAUUAAAACUCAAAGGAAUUGACGGUGGCCCGCACAAGCGGUGGAGCAUGUGGUUUAAUUCGACGCAACGCGAAGAA